CAAACGGUAAAUUCCUUAUUUUCAUUUUUUCCCAAUAAUUGAAAAACUACGGAAGAAAAAUCCUACACUCCUUCAAUGGCGAUGAGCAAAGCUAAAACCCUACCCGAAGAAAUCAUAUUUGACAUACUUUCCCUGCUGCCUGCAAAAUUCAUAGGCCAAUACAGGUGCGUGUCAAAGCAGUGGCGCAAUCUUCUCUCAGACCCACAAUUCAUCAAAGCUCACCACAUUAUCCAUGCCCACAAAAAAGAAGAAAAACUCAUUUAUAUCUCUGUUUCUCAUGCUUUUCACACUAUCACUUUCAGGAAUUAAUCUACUCUAGGCACAAUACAAGUUAAGAGAGAUGUAUACAAAGCCUUAUCAAAAUCGAGUUGUACACAAAGGCCUGCAUCUCGAUAUGUUUAAUCCCAAUAGUGGUUUGUAUAAUGUGAUGAAGUAUACAAAGGUAGUAGUUGAGACAUGCAUUUGUGUUUGGUAUAUUUUGAAGCCUGCAAAGGCAGUAGUAGCAACGUGUGGAGAAAGGGUCCCUUUUGAUCAGACCCUCAUACUUGAGAUUUGAUCGUUCAUAUCUCAGUUGAGUUUUAAUAGAUGAUCUGAGUAGCGAUAAACGCGCAUUUAACAGGUUGUUUUACAUCAAGUCUUCUCCUCUUGUGAAAGCAGGAUUAUCCUUUGAAUUUCAGUAAACAAAUCUUUAGCUUUGCAAUGUUUUGUUAGCAUAUCAAAUAAUUGUGCUUCCCUGUCUUAUUUCUA